AGCAUCCGUAGCCGGCUGCUCAAGUUUCCGGUUAAAUCCACACGCUUAACGUAUGGGCUGCCGGAAAUACUGUUCAGCUAGGGAGUGGGAGAGGUAGACGGUACUCGAUAGGAAGGGGUAAAAUCCUUUGAUCUAUUGAUGACCACCUGUGGCGAAGGCGGUCUACCAGAACACGUUCGACGGUGAGGGAUGAAAGCUGGGGGAGCAAACCGGAUUAGAUACCCGGGUAGUCCCAGCUGUAAACGAUGCAGACUCGGUGAUGCAUUGGCUUGUGGCCAAUGCAGUACCGCAGGGAAGCCGUUAAGUCUGCCGCCUGGGAAGUACGUACGCAAGUAUGAAACUUAAAGGAAUUGGCGGGGGAGCACAAGC
rnacentral:rRNA from 2 species